rnacentral:rRNA from 1 species
GCAUGCAAAUUAGUGUUAAUGCAUUGAAUCCCAUUAGAACUCUGAAGUUAAGCGUGCCCCUGAUAGAGUAGUACUAUGAUGGGCGACCGUCCGGGAAGUCCUAGUAUUUUACAUGCC